rnacentral:pre_miRNA from 8 species
UAGUGACCAGUUUGUGACCUCCUGGGUUUCCCUUUGUCAUCCUAUGCCUGCAGUUCCUGAUGAGGCUGGGACAGCAAAGGGAGGUUCAGAUGUCGACCUGUAC